rnacentral:lncRNA from 1 species
UGUAAUUUUAGUACGGAUUAUAGAUAGUAAGGUACCUAUUUUGUUUAUUUAUUUAAAAAAUAACUUUGUUGAAAAUGUGAAUCAAGUAAAAUUCGAAUUUGGGAUCUCAGAUACCAAUCAUCAAUUUCUUUACCACUUACGAUAGAGACAAUCAGUAAUAUGAAUUAAUUAAAGGGCUAAUUUAUUUAGGCUUUCAUAAUUAGACAUGAUUAGAUAUGCAGUUCGCAAAUAAAGCUGAUUGCUAAGAUCCAAAACAUAGGGUCAGUUAGGUUUAGUAUUUAUGAUUUCGGUUUAGGGUUUGGCCUCGUGGUUGUGGCAUGUAUCGCCCAAAUUCGAAACGCCAGUUGAAUCAUGCAAAGAUAUGAUCAUCUGCUGUAACCGCAAGCCUCAGGGUCAUUGUACGAGAAAAAAAAGUAUAUUUAUCAGUGUUAAUUAAAUUUCUACGUAAGAAAACAAUAAAUAUUAUUACACAACAGCUGGUCAUAAAAUUAAGAUUUGAUGGUUAAUUACUUAAAAACGAAAAGAGAAGUGUUUCAUGGAAUUAAACCAACAAACGUCCUUUGAGAUUAACCAACACAUGAAUGAAGAGACAGUUAUACAUAUCAUUAUGAAUAGAAUUAAUGACAUUAUAUAUAUAUAUAUAUAGUACAAUAUUUAUGAACUACAUAUUCAAAAGUUCCCUUAACGAAAUUUACCAUAAAUACUUUUCUUUUUAAUGAAACAUAAGGUGACCCACAUGCACGUUAGAGGCACAAAGAGUGGCCAGAUCCAAACAUAAAAAGGAGGGUCCAAUCAUAAUAUUUCUACUCUCUAAAAAUGGACCCAACAGGUCCCCCUUUGGUGGCACUCAAUAGCACAUGCGAAAAGAACCUUAAAGAUCUUCUCAAAAAGCCCUUCACAAUAACUGUAUAUCUCUUUUAGGUGGUUUCAUUUAUUUUAAAGAUGCUAUUUUCUUGGUGGUCCUAAGUUUAUUAACUCGAUAUCCACCCCGACAGCUCUAUCGAUCGCAUCGAGAGCAACACCAAAGCAUUUAAAAGCUAAAUUUAGUUGUCCAUACUGAUAUAUUGCUGAUGUGCAUGUACAUGCGGAGUUCGAAGUGAUCGUGUACAAUUAUUUAUAAUUGAGAUCAUCGUUUCAUUAAUUCAAAACCACUUAUCCAAACCUCACGCUUUGCGCAAUCCCAUGCUCGACUCGUUUAAACCUUGAAUCAUCUCCAUUUUUAAAUUUUUUAAGCUCUUCUAAAAUGUCAAAAUGAGUGCCAGUUUUAUAAUAUUUGCAAAAUAGGCCUAAUGUAUAAUAUUUAAUUACCUGUUACGGACAAAGAGUUGUCGCCAUGAUAUGUCAACGUAAAUAGUAGGCUCUUACUAUUUGGUUGAUAAUGUAUACGUACAUUUGUACAUAUGUACAUAAAUAAAUAAACAUUUAUAUAUUUAUGCACUGAAUUUUGUACAUCUCAUCUCCUUAGAUCAGCCGUACACGUGCCAGUCUGGCACGGGGGACAAAGCAAGUACAUGGACAGCCCCAUGCAAAGCACGUACCAUACGAGAAAUUUAUUGCCUACACUUGUUGUAUAAUUAUGUCUUUUAUGUAGAGACUUCAAAAUGACCUGAAUAGUAGUACGUACUACGUUAUUCACAAGACAUGCACAAUUAAAGUUAUAAGUUUUGGGCAUGGAUUCUUCGCAAACCAAACAAUUCUCUUUAUAUAUCGAUUGUUGCCUUUUGCAUUGCUUAAUAUCCCAACAAUAAAUGUUCAAAAUACUUUAGCUUUUUAUGUAUAAGUCUUUUUUAUUUCAGCGUGUCGGUAGACCUUGAAAAAUACUAAUUAGAACCUAGUUUGUUAUUGCGGUGGUUGGUUAAAGGCCUCAACUUUCAUGCUAUAAAAGAUUCAAAAAAAACGCUUUCAAUUUGUCCUUCGAUACUUCUCCGAUGGUGGCUCCCGCUCUAAUUUUAUAACAUUGGGAACAUUCAAAGCAUAAAAACAACACUAUUAAUUUGAUAGUUGGUGCCAAAGGUUUCAAGGUCGAAGUUUAGUUGCUUUACGUUUCUAACUUAAUUUAUUUUUAAUAGAAAAUAAACAAAAUGGAUAACUUUUGCAGAAAUAUAAAUUGUACGU